CAUGCGCACAACCAGCUCCGCCCCGCGCCGGGCUCUAGCUGUUUCCCUCAGGCGGCCUGUUCCACGCCAGGAUUAGUUUUGCUUCGCAGAUGGGCCGUGGUGGUGAGAGGAAGCAAUCAGUAUGGAAAUGGAGAAAUGGCUUACCAUGCAUGUCCUUCUCCCCAGGAGGGAGGUCGUGGUGCAGGCGAGCAGACGCCAGACUCCUGGACACUUGCCGCCUGCGUUAUGGAGGCUUAGCUAAUAACCUUGCAGGGGUCUUCAGGCUUUUCCACUGGCUCACCUUUAGGCUUCUGACACUUUUACCUACGAUUGAAAAAAGACGAGAUUCCAUGAGACUAGAAAUGUAGGAGCAUCUCAGACCUUCACAGAACGCUCUGUUAGAAGAUGAGAAACAUAACGUUGCUUGUGAGAGGUGAAGCCAGCUGGACUUCCUGGGUCGAGUGGGGACUUGGAGAACUUUUCUGUCUAGCUAAAGGAUUAUAAGUGCACCAAUCAGCACUCUGUAAAAACACACCAGUCAGCGCUCUGUGUCUAGCUAAAGGAUUGUAAAUGCACCAAUCAGCACUCUGUAAAAUGGACCAAUCAGUACCCUGUAAAAUGGACCAAUCAGCAGGACGUGGGCAGGGACAAAUAAGGGAAUAACAGCUGGCGCCCCUAGCCAGCAGUGGCAACCCACUCGGAUCACCUUCCAUGCUGUGGAAGCUUUGUUAUUUCACUUUUCACAAUAAAUCUUAGGGUUGCUUACUUUUUGGGUCCAUGCCACCUUGAAGAGCUGUAACACUCACCACGAAGGUCUGAGGCUUCAUUCUUGAAGUCAGACUAAGAACCCACCGGAAGGAACCAAUUCCAGACACACGUGUAGUAGCAAAUUAUCAAAAAUGUUCAUUGCCUUUUCUGAAAAACAAUUUUCCCAGAAACACCUGGCAGAAUCAGAGUUCAUUGUGUCAAAAGAAAAACUUUGGACAAAUUAAAAUGAGCAAAGAACAAUUUGUGAAAUGUGCCCCUCUCCCAACCAGAACAGGUUCAAAGAGACUCCAGUGCUGCCACAUGAUCAAAGAAUUAUGGACAAAAAAAGCAAAUAAAUUACAGGAAAAGAAAAUGAGGUACAGAAACAGCUGGAUUGGUUACAGCUUGGUGUUUACCUUACUUGAACAAGGUUCGAACAGUUGGCUGCCUUUGAUGGGCUGCAACACAGUGAUUGGUAUAAGAGUAGGUUACAGCCUGUUUACACAUGCAGUUAGGUUACAAUUCACUGUGUGUUGAGAAACCUUUAGGCCAAACUUAAAAUUUGUAAGGAGGCAGCUUUAGGCUUAACUUGAUUUAAAAGUUAUUAGAUGUUCCAUCAGUCGUUUCGCCAAUAGGUAAUAGGUUUUUUUGGUUUUGUUUUCUGUGCUAUUAAAAUAGUAUAUAAAACUUGU
ensembl:lncRNA MOCS2-DT MOCS2 divergent transcript